rnacentral:rRNA from 1 species
GAUGAACGCUGGCGGCGUGCCUAAUACAUGCAAGUCGAGCGAACAGACGAGGAGCUUGCUCCUCUGACGUUAGCGGCGGACGGGUGAGUAACACGUGGAUAACCUACCUAUAAGACUGGGAUAACUUCGGGAAACCGGAGCUAAUACCGGAUAAUAUAUUGAACCGCAUGGUUCAAUAGUGAAAGACGGUUUUGCUGUCACUUAUAGAUGGAUCCGCGCCGCAUUAGCUAGUUGGUAAGGUAACGGCUUACCAAGGCAACGAUGCGCAGCCGACCUGAGAGAGUGAUCGCCCACACUGGCACUGCGACACUGUCCAGACUCCUACGGGAGGCAGCAGUAGGGAAUCGUCCGCAAUGGGCGAGAGCCUGACGGAACAACGCCGCGUGAGUGAUGAAGGUCUUCGGAUCGUAAAACUCUGUUAUUGGCGAAGAACAAAUGUGUAAGUAACUAUGCACGUCUUGACGGUACCUAAUCAGAAAGCCACGGCUAACUACGUG